ensembl:lncRNA
GUAGUUUUCUCCAACGCAACUGUGUUGGGAGCGUUUCACCUGGUAGCUUAGAAGCUAGUUUUCUCCAACGCAACUGUGUUGGGAGCGUUUCACGAAGUAGCCUGGAAAGUUGUUUGCUCCAACGCAACUGUGUUGGGAGCGUUUCACCUGGUAUUCUGGAAAGUAGUUUGCUCCAACGCAACUGUGUUGGGAGCGUUUCACCUGGUAGCUUGGAAGGUAGUUUGCUCCAACGCAACUGUGUUGGGAGCGUUUCACCUGGUAGCCUGGAAGCUAGUUUGCUCCAACGCAACUGUGUUGGGAGUGUUUCACCUGGUAGUUUCACCUGUGUUGGGAGCUUUCACAAAGUAGCCUGGAAAGUAGUUUGCUCCAACUCAACUGUGUUGGGAGAGUUUCACCUGGUAGUCUGGAAGCUAGUUUGCUCCAACGCAACUGUGUUGGGAGCGUUUCACGAAGUAGCCUGGAAAGUAGUUUGCUCCAACGCAACUCUGUUGGGGGCGUUUCACCUGGUAGCCUGGAAUGUAGUUUGCUCCAACGCAACUGUGUUGUGAGCGUUUCACCUGGUAGCUUAGAAGGUAGCUUGUUUGGUUGUGUUUGGCUGCCGGCCUCAGAACUUGGGAAUUGGUCCACCGCACACACAUCACUUUCCUUUCCCCUAAACUUAACCUGGAUUUUAGCGCUCGUCUGUUUGGUUUUGGCUCAUUCUAAGUUUAGUGCAGUGUUGUAGGUUGUUUUUGAGUGCAUUGUUGCACGUGUUUGUAUGAAGCCUGUGCUAAAUGAUUUUAAUUCCUUGCAAUGUGGUUUGAUUCUAUGCAAUACGGUUUUAAUUCUUUGCA